UGAGGUUUUGAUGGGCCCUAUCAUUAGGUAUAUUCCGACUCGUCGGAAUAUACCUAAUGAUAGGGCCCAUCAAAACCUCA
rnacentral:pre_miRNA from 1 species